AAGGGAUUGACACGAUUAAAUACACAGGUGGAAACAAUCAGGGAGGAGCUUGCAAUCACACAGGAAGAGGGAGGAGCCUGAACGAGAGACCAGGUGAGUGACGGAACGCAGAGACAAGCAGACAGUGAGCGUGUCCGUGGCGUAGGACAGGAGAUGACAUGGAUGGAGUAUUUAAACAAUGGAAUCAAAUGUGUAAUGGUCCAUCAAUGUGCCUGUACUCACAUCCACACGUAGAGUUUAUAUCUUUCUCUGCCGCUCGUUAAAAUCAAUUAUUUCUGAACUACUGAUCAAUCUCAGCCCGUCUCCCGAACCAGAUGGACUAUUUUUUGCCCACCCGUUCUAGAAUUUGUUGAGUGUAUGAGUGUCACAGCCAAUGUAUGCAGAAGCAGUUUUCUACCUCUCCCCUCAACCCGCUUCAUUAUUUCGCUCUUUUUUUUCUUGCUCUGUUGCUCGAGCAUCUCCCAUCUGUAUCGCUAUUUUAUCCUAAUUUAUCUUGCUGAGGAAAUUAUUUGACUAGCACUGAUUUCCUGCAUUUUUAGUGUAACAACAACCAUAACUUGACUUGAAUCAUUCCGUAAACCAGCCCCCCUCCCUAACAAAGACUUCACCUUUUAAUAAUUUAUGUACGGGGGUCAUUCAUUCUGUUAGUCUCAGCAAUGUAACUGUGCAAACAGAUUUACACAAGUUACACAAGGCUGCACAUACUGACCCAUCACUGCAUAACUGGUCUGUCCCCCGUCCCCCCGUUGCCACUGGGAGGCAGUAAAACCCCACACGUUCACCCACGAUGACAACACCCAGAAUGAAUUGGUUCACCCUUUGACCCCCCUCCCCUCCCUUUCACAUACACCACACACACAGACAAUAACACAAUUACAGUUUCAACAUUUUCAUCUCUGUUACUGUCUGCAGUAAAGUUUCUUCCUACAGCGUGAUUUAACCAUUUUGAGUCCCAAACAAUGAAGUCAUUCCACUAUUGCUUGAGCCUUGUCAGGUCGCUCCCGGGGUCUCUGUGGGUCAGUGGUGGCUAGUUAUUAAAGACAUUAAGGACAGAAGGAAAACCUACCUGAUUGUAUACUAUUCGAGUUGGCUAUUAAUCAUCUCUUUCUAAAAUAAUUGCCAUUGUCCUUAACUCUAAGAUUGGCAAAACCUUAUUCAGGGUUAGUUAUUUUGAGCAAGCAUCCAAACCUCAUUCAGAAUAUCUUUUAAAUAGGGAAUAUAUGGGUGCAUUACUAUUGGGGAAUAGUGGGGAAUUCUCUUUCUUCUGAGGAGUCAGUUAAAUCAGUCGGGAGUCGAGAUAUAUACUUUCCUUAUAAGCAGUAAGACAAAGAUUUACAAGAUUUCUUAAAUGUCACUGCACUCUGGAUGAGAAGGAGUCUGCUGUCUUUAAUGUGUCGAUAAAAGCCUGUUGUUGAGAGCGGUCACAACACACCCAGUAAAUGAAUGGUGGGAACAUCCUCUAUGCUUUGCAGAUCCUGCUGCAAUUCCUGGUCAAAGUCAAUUCACAGCAACUAAAUACUUGUAUUGGUUAACAUAAGCAUCGAGCUACUCCCUGAUGAAAAAAGGAAACAUUACAUUGAAGAUCAAUUAUGUAGAAUCAAUCACUGUGGUGGGAAAACACACAAAGGCUGUAAGUGAAGUGACAAUAAACAAGAGGAGAGGUAAGUAACAAACACAAAAUAUAGAUAACUGAUUUGACUGAUUUAUUGUGAUAAAAUAAGUUUUGUAUGAUAUUGUAAGAAACAUAUAAAACAGGGCUAUAAUAACUAUACCAUGCCAAGUGCAUAUUUGCUGUGUUAACUGUCAAGAUGAUGUGGUUUUACUGCCAAUGAAGGGAAAUGUGUUCAUUUUGAAUUAUUUUAGACUAAUUCAGACAACUUUACAGAAGUAUUCCAUCUUCUCCCACUACUUUUCUAUCCAACAAAAUCCCGGAUAUAAAUAGAGGAACGUAGUUUUUUGCAUGUUAUGUGUGUGUGUGUGUGUGUGUGAGGGAUGUGAGCUGCCAUCGUUUCGGUCACGGCGCGGAUCUCAUUUCAGGAGGUUGAAUUAAAGCCAGCUGAGACCUAAUCCCAGCGUAAUUCCCCCUCUUCUGCCCGCCCCAUUUUAUGAAGGAGGAGGGUAGUGAGAAAAUAUCAGAAUAACGAUGUCGUUUGAGCAAUAAAAAGGUGACUAAAUCCAAGGGGUGAGGAGGUGUUUGGGGUAAGAGGCAGAAUGGGAGAGAGACGAGAGGCAGAAAAGAAGAGCAACAUCUGAUUUAGACGUUGUAAUACGACUAGAUGUCUCAAAUCAAAUGAAGAAGAAGAAGUAUCCUUUAUCGACAGUUUAUGCGACAGUGACGCAUGGAGAGGAGAGGGUGCGCCGGGAACCAUCGAACAUUCUGGAGAUCUAAGGGAGCACACCACACUGCUCCUCUCCCAACCUGUCUUUCCUCCGGCGUCUUUCCUCCUUGCCUUUUUGCACCCACCCCUCCAUGAGGAGAUGAGGUGCAGUGUGUCUCCUGGCACGACUGAUCUCAUCUCCCCUGAUGGAGUAAGUGGAAGGGUUAUGGCUGGAUCGUGCACUCCCUCCACUGUUCUGCCCUUCAGCCCCUAACAGUAGAAUAUUGCUACUGUUAUUGUCACCAGGUUAAAUAAGCCUGUGUUGAUAGUGGUUCAGUCAAACAAUCAUGUAUUGUGCUUGCACGAUGAAAUGAAUAGGAAAGCGUCUGUGGCGAUUGGAUUCCUUUGCUGGUGAUCUUUUAUUAGAUCAAGAGUAACCCCCCUGCAGGCUUGACAUGUUUUUUGCUGGUCUUCAGACCACUCAGUGCUUUAACACUGUAAGCGGUUACCAUGGUGCCACAUUCACACCCUGAGCACAGCUACAGGAGCAAUUUGGGGUUAAGAGUCUGACCCUGGGAAACAUCGGCGUGGGCUAAUGGAGCACGGAAUCAAACCGCCUGAAAUCACUGCUCCUAAAAGUAUAAAGGUUUAUUUAUAAAGAAACAAACAAAUCCUGUGUCUGACACAAGUUAUUUUAAUGCAUUGUCACAAAGUUUGGUGGAAUUUCAGGGCAAGUUAUCCGUUCGAGGAUCCAAAAGACCUUCUCUGUUCCGAUCUCUAUUCCCGUCUAUUGUUGGUUCAGCAAAGUUAGGAAAGUCAGCGAGGGUUUUCUUUGAAAGCAACAUUGUUCGUUUCUGCACCUCCUUUCAGCCACUUAGUCACAUGGAAGGCACAGCGUCCAGCCGAGCACCGGUGUUUACAACUUUGAUAUCAUGGGCGAAUCACAGGGAACACCUGCGGUGCACGUGACCAUAAUGCACAACUCCAAAGAGGCCUCAACCAUUGUAUAUAUCAUCCCAACGACCAUUAAGUACUGGCAGAAAUACAGUGUUCUAUUUUUUAAGGCUUUACUAUAAAAGAGCUGUUGCUAUUGGCUUAAUCCCCACACCUACGUGCAGCCGUUGAGUUUUUUUUUUUAUCUGACCCUGCUUUGGACACUCAACACUGGUUUGACAGGCAGUAGAAGAGGUGAGAGGACAUAACCCACUUCUGCAAUCUUUGGGAUUUACACAAUUGCUAUAGGUGUUUUCUGAAGGUUAAUGAUGUUGUACUCCUCCUAUAAUUUCAGCUUUCAGGGAUGAGAGCCAAUCAGAUGCGACUCUAAAGCCAUUUUCCCCCAAUCCUCAUCACAUUAUGUUGCAGCAUAAGCCCUGUUGAAAGCAGUAAUCAGCUUAGCUGAGCACAUUGUAAAUGUGCAAAAAGUAUUUGAUUAAAUGACCGUUAAAUGACAGUUAGCAGAGGGAGAAUGAAUGCAUGACAGUAAUACUAUUUUACUUUUUUAUUCCUGUAACAGUAAAAGACAUGUGUGUUAUAAAGACCAUAGAAAUAUGAAAUAUUCAAACAAAGGUUUGAAGGUCUCGAGCUUUUUGUGCACACACAAUCAAAAUGUUGGGUCUGGUUGUGUGUGGUCACGAUUUUUCUUUGUUGCACGUAUAAAAGGAUCUCAACAGCAACAUCCCAGAGUACACUCACAGGGGCUCUGUGGGUGGGAUUAAGAACAUGGCUGUCACUUCUCUGCCAGAGUCACAAGCGAGGAUGAGCUCUGCUACACUGUUUGUUUCUGCUCAGGAGCCUUUCAUACUUUUGGAGACUUGGUACUUGAUUGAUUGAUCUGUACAGCAUUUGGUUAAUCAAUACUGACUAUAUUUAUUAAUUACAGUCCUAAUCUAUUCCUUUCUUUAAUCUAUGUCAAAUGUCUAUUACUGUAAUGUGAGAGAUGUUUUAUCCCCCAGCAGUCAUAAUCACCCAAAUAUAUUACAAAUCACUUAUGUAAUGGAUUUUUGUGUAAAUAUGCUUUCAUUUGUACACAUUAGUUAUUAUUUUAUUUUAUCUGUGUAAAAUAAAAUACUAGCUUAACAAUAAUGACAAUUUUCAGUGAAUUUAUCAUAUAUCCAAUUAUUUAUUCUGUAAUUCAAAAUCUAUUUAAGACAAGCAGUUUGGCGUAAACAUUCCUUUAACUCCAGAAUUACUUUAUAUGCAAAAGGGAAAUUCCAGACAAACUUGAUAUCUAUGCCUUCUCUUCAAGUAAAUGUGUUCUGCAUGUGUUUAAUGAAGCUCCCCAGUGAACAAAAAGGCAUUGCUUGUGCUUAAAAUAGUGCAACAUAUUUAAAUAAAUGUCAGUGGGUUUAGUUGGUCUGAGUUUAUUUUGGUGUGGCACAAGUCCUUUCACCAAUUUUUUAAAUAAUAAAUAUGAAAGCAGAAGAGGGUUUAAGGAAGAGACAUCAACAGCUAUGUGGGGACACACACACGCACACACACACACACACACACAUAUACACACACACACACACACACACACACACACACACACACACACACAGUGCCCCCUCCCCUACAGCUCAAAUGUCAACAAGAAAAUUGGAAAUGAGUAAUUCUUUGUAUGUGUGAAAUAGAUUGCUUCUCAUAUAAGUACAUCCCUGAAUAUAACAAAUUGAUUCUUGUGGCAAGCAGUAAAUCCACCAGACAACUUUUAUUGUAUAUCUGAAAUAUGAAUAUGUUUAUUUCGUUUUUUUGCCAAACACGACUCUUCAUUGUAAUUGAAGUCCCCUUGGCUGGCGGCAAGAUUUCUUUUUCCAACCCUCUAAUUUGUUCUUUUGGCAGCCUGGAUUUUCAUUCCGUCAAUAAAUCUGAGUCAGAGAAAGUGAGUGUUUGAGAGAAAUAAGGGAGUGAUUAUUCAAUUUUAACUUGCUGGAGCCAUCUGAGAUGUUUCCUCCAAUUACAGUAUUCAAAAUGUACCCUGCUGUCAGUCCCAGUGUGCACGUGGGUGCAUAAUACGUCUGUAAAACCCUCUGAAAUAUUCUGCGUCUGGUCGACCAAAUUUUCAUCCUCUCAUUUUUUGGUGGGUUGCAACCCCCUCCACCCCACCUGUAUACAGCAAUUAUUUUGCCUAUUCUUCCUCUGUCGGCUUUCUUUCUGCAUCAUGUUUCUCACAGUUUGACUUCACGCCUCUCUUUCUCUCUUCCCACGUCUCUGAUGGAGUUUUAUCAAGUUGGAGGUUUGCUGCUCGGCAGAUGGCCCAAGUUGGUUGGUAAAAAUAACCAAUUGCAGGUUCUCUGGCUUCUGCUGUUACCUAAUAUAUGAUUUCUUAAUUAGUACUAUUAGGAGCUAGUUUUAGCUUGUUAUAUGAAUACAAAUGCAUUAUCUGAUCAAUAAUUGGUGUUAAACCAGAUUCAAAUGAAAAAUAUGUCAACUAUCAAUUAAAGAUAUAUUUUGUGCAUAACAACAAGAGCCAUAUUUAGUCAAUAUAUGUAAUCUUGAGAAACAGCAUAUUAAGUAAAUAGGCUUCAACACUUAUGUCAAAAUGUCUGUAUACUCAAUUUCCUUAAUAUAAUUGUGCAUUGGAAAUAAUGACUGAAAGUUAUUUUUGAAGGAAACCCCAGGUACAGUUAUAUAUAUUAAUAUAUAUGGUGAUAUAGUUAACCUAGUUCCUUCAAUGUAAACUAUAAAAAUAAACAUUGACACAUUCAUACUCUUCACUCUUUGACACCCUCCUCCUUCCAUUGUAUGUUCUGCUAGGGCUCCAGGUAGUGACAGGGUCGUAUUUGGAGCUUAAACAUUAUCUUUCUGCUCAUUAACCUUGGACAGGGUCUCCAUUCCACCCGAUUGAUUCUCCCUCCUCCGCCACCUCCGUCUUCACCUCCAUCUCUUUCCCCUGUCGCUCUUUUCCUCCCUAUUUGUUGAGGCACUCACCCGGAUAAGACGAGAGCCUUUUAAAAUGUCUGCUGAUGCUUCAUGGUGCCUCUCCUCUGCAUCAGGGAUCGACUUAUCUGGACAAUUUGUCUCACGCCUUACUGAAACACUAAUGACAUCAUCCGCUGUAAAGUUCUUGAGAAAAAGGUUUUCUCUGGCCCUUUGCUGCCCCAGGCCAAGGUGCUGCAAUGCACAAUAUUCAUUAAUAUAAUAAUAUAAUAGAGACUUUAUUAAAAAAAAUGAACAGAAGUCUCAAGUCAAUGGAAUAAUACUGCAUGUUUAAUGUUCUUUUUCAAGCUUUUCAAAUUUGUUAAUUUUCACGACAAGUCAUUUAAUCAACCAUAUUUCAGUUUAAACUCUGCAUCACAACGUCAGAUAAUGUACUCCGUGACUGCUGAACUGAACUUGACCCAUCUGCGCAGGUGCUGUCAGUUGCUUUUUACUCUCAAACUGAGUGGCAAAGGUGCGCUGGCCUCUGCGAUCAAGUGUGUUUUGUAGUGUGAGAUCUAUUUCCUAGAAGAAGUGCAUCAGAAACCAGUUUGGCCUCUGUAGAUAGGAUGUCUCAUGAAUGAAGUUCACCUGUAACUCUACUUUCCUAAACACAGCAAAGGCAUUGUACAACCCCUACAUCCACAGAUGGAGAACAUCAUCUUCUCUUACAGCCACCUAUUUAAUUCACAUUCACAUUCACUGGUACAUACUCCGAACCCAUAACCGUGGCUGUUUGUAAAGUGAUUACAGCCCAAAGUCCAUUUUGUUACGGCUCGGCCAGCCAGAGAGUUAUGCGCCUUGCGGCGGGGACGAGCCGGGCGUGCACCGGAUCACACCUGAAGCCACUCUGGUCAUUGCGCAGCUGCAGCUCGUUGGCUCGUUCUGUGGAGAGUUAAGUUGGAGGACUCCCAAUGGCUCGUCGUGAGUUCGUGCCCUGUUUCCGGAGAGAUCGGUCGUCGUUUGGAGGCUGCCCUGUGGAUUAUUGAGACUGAGUUUUCCUUUUUUUUGUUGAACUUAGAGUGCCCAUGGACUAAGGGAUUUUGAGUUGUUUUCUUUUGUUUUCCCCUGCCAAUUAAGGAGGCAGUUUUUGUUUGUUCCUUGGAACCUUACGCUCUUGAGUUCUUGUGAAAGAAUAAACUACGCCGUGUUUUUGGCUGAACAUAAACUCUGUCUGGUGUCGUGCACUUGGGGUCGAAGACAAACUAUAACACAUAUAACAGCUUUUAUUACCAUACAAGCAAAUACUUUUCUAUUCCAACUCAAAACCUCCAUUACUUUACAGAAAGUGAAAAAUGAAUAGUAGGCUGUUCAUAUACGUAUAUUUAAAAAAAUAGCAGGCUUUUGUCUAUACAAACUAAAAACGGUUAAUAUUUAGAUUUCCUGGGAAUUGCCAUACUUUAGCCCUAUAAUCACUGUUUCACAUCCAUGCUGGAUGGAAUUGACCAACUUCUGGCACCUGUGAACAGAUGUACCAUCCCAGGAAUAUUGGACUACAUUCCACAAUGUUGUCCGGGCAUUGGGCUAGCCACUCCUGCUUGCAUGCUUGUGGGAGUUGGGAUCCUUGUCUUCUUGAAACACCCAUUUCAAUGGCAUUUCCUCUUCAGCAUAUACAAAUGACAUUCAAAGUGAUCCAUGAUCCCUGUGUGCCAUAAACAGACCCAACACCAUAGUGCGAGAAACAUCCCCGUAUCACGUGUAGUUUUAAUUUGUUAUUGAAACCCAAAAGUCUUUUUUUUGCACGUUUCUCAACAAAUAAGCUGAUAAAUUAAUUUUGUGCCUUCAUUUAGAGACUAACCAUUUUUACCAGGUUUCACAAGAGAUGCGAGGUGUUGGAGAGGAGACCAUCGGCGACGUGUUUCAGAUGUGAUCGCUCUCACUUAACGACGGAAGCCAGUGAAGUGUGACUGUAAAUAAUCAGCGUUAGCAUACAUCAACACCACAUUUUCCUUCAGCAGGGCUUCUACACGACCUCUGGGAUUUGUUGCCAAACAGGGAUGUUUUAUCUGUUAGACAGUAGGUGGCUGACUAAAGAAGUUAAGCUUUGCAGGAAAAUAGGUUUUUGAUCACCUGUGAUCUCAAAAUAUACGUGAAAAUACUACAGAUCUCAGAUCUGACUUAAUAAAUAUAUAUAUAUAUAUUUUAUUAUUGGCAUUACCAUAUUAAACUAUCAAAAGUAAAACUACUCAUUGUGCAGAACAACCCAUUCCAGAACUGUUUAUAUUAUCUUACUGUAUUUUAAUUACUGAUAAAUGUUUUAAUGCAAAACAAAAAAACUUAAUCAACACUUUAUCAAGUACUACUUCAAUCAAUCAAACUUUUAUUUAGACCACUUUGUGCUCUGAAAGAGGUGGUGUUGAAUAGAAAUUGCAACCACAAAAUUGAACAUGUUUCAGAAAUUGCAUCCAGUUUUUUAUUACAGUACGUUAAAACAGAUCUACAACUCUAGAAAAAGCUAAUUUUUUCUUGAGUUUUUCUAGCUAGUCGCUGGUUUUCCCAUCUACAAACUCAAGGAAAAAAUGUCAAGUCUCAAUUAACUAUUAAAUCUCUUAACUCAAACAUAAUUGCUGUUGGCUAAAUAGAGAAAGCCCCACUGGAGUCAAUUCAAAUUUCAAGUCUCUCUCCUGUUGUGAGGUGAGAGCUUUAGUAUAGCGCGAGAGCUAGAUCAGAUCGUACUUGUGAUACAAGUUGCAAUUCUCCUCUCAGUGGGGAUUUCUCUUUACGGUGUGGAUCAUUAUGCUGAUCCCUGCUUUCACUGUGCUCUAUUUCAGAUGUCAAGUGAGGAUUUGGUUAACAAUGGCGAACAUAGGGAAAUAAUUGUAAGGAUGUAGAAAUUAUUUUUUUAAUCCACGCCGAGCUUGACAUUCAUUCAAUCCUAGUACCCUUUUGAGUGAGGUGCUUUUUGAGUCAAUCAUUGGGCUUCAAAUGUCAAAUUAGACAUUUGCUCUUUUAAAAAAAAUGCUUUUUACACUCUUUACAUUCACUCGAGAACUGAAUGAUUUGGCAUUGGCCAUCAAUUUUCUGCAAGGACACAGAAAGUUAACAGUGCUCACAUUUUCACAAUGUCAAUGCUGACAUUAUGACGUUAUGCAGGUGUGAUUUUUUUGUUCAGUAUGUUUGCAUAUUCAAUAUUUGCACAAAGGCAGAAGACAUUAACUGAAGUUGAUGGAAAUGUAGUUGGGCUCAUAAACCAAAGUGUUGAUGAAGCCGCCCGCCUGUGUUUUUCACCCGAAUGGAAGACAUGAAUACACAAUAUUUCAGGCAAAACUGCUCAUAUGGUUUUAUAACGCUGCAUGAUCUCUACUUUCAUCUGGUUACCAUGUCUCUUCACAUUUGUGGCAUUCGUCAGGUAGAUGUUAACAUUACAUCACUGGAUAAGUUAAAAAUUGCCACAUAGAAAUCCAAUGUGUAAGCAAAGUUGAUUCAUCCCGUAUAUAAGAUUUUCUAACUCGCACAGGCUUCACUCUCCACCGAGGUGCAUCGGUAAUACUCUCUUGCAAUCAUAAGUGUGCAUUCACCCAGUGAAAAAUAUGUACAAGAGUAGUCAGGAUGAAAAUACCAAUGCGAAUAUGUACAAACCCGACAGUUAUUAAUUGUGGGGUUUGUACAGCAGCACACAUUGCAAAUCAACACCCUCUUCUCCUCCAACAAAUGGCAAACUUCCCUCUGGCUGUAUGUCGUUCACAGAUGGAGGUGCUGCUCCAUGAGCCUUGACAGUGCCCCACGCCUGCUUCGAGUGUCAUGUGAUGGCGUGUAGGGGUUAACGUACAUCCCCCAUCAGACACAAUGAACAGCUGCUGUGCGUGUCUCGGGGAUGGUGUGACUCGUAAAGCCCUGUUCAAAAAACACCCGGUGAUGUCUUUGUCAGUGUAUUUCCAAAGCCUAUUGGCGGAGGUGGAGAGACCCUCGCACUUUGGAACGUAUAUGCUUUACUUGAGCAUGGCGCGUAUCGAAGGACACAUAUUUUGGACGCCUUGUCCAAUCGUGGUUCUUUCCCUUUGACAUGUUGCACUCAGAUUCAGGGUGUUUGCUUGCUGGAACAACACAGUAAUGGUGAAAGUAUGUGUAGGGAGGAGGUAGAGCUGGAUUUUGCUAUUUUAACCAUUAUUGUCUAAGCAUAGGAGGAGCUCUCUACCAGAUGUUGAGCUUCCUUUACUAAAGAUUUUGCGUGUAUUUAGGUAGGCAGAAGUCAGAGGAGUAAAGACAAACUUCUCAAUACAGUUUUCCAUUCGACCUUUCCAUCACAGUCCAGAAAAGCAGCCUGUGGGUAGCGUAAGGUUGUGUGUGUCAGCUUCCUGUCUAUUCAUUCUUGUGAUAGAUUCAAGCAAUGGGGCCUUCACUUAUAGUGUAUUCAACAGUAUAGGCAUGAUUGUAACCCAAUAUACAUACAUGCCUGCAGGUGUAAUUGAACAGCUUCACUGUAAGUGGAAGACGACUGAUUGUACCCUGUGGUCAUUGCAAAAGCCUUUCUGGAGUAGGCUCAUUUGCGGACAAAUCAGAAGAAAAUGGGGAAAAGGCAAUUAAAGCCGGUUUUGAUAGAGGCCGUGGCCUUGCAUUAUUCAGAGCUCAGCUGUCAGUCCUCAGGAUGCUGACCAUGUUUUACUGACAGGCUCCGCUUUUAGGCUUUAUGACAUUAAUUUGCAUUGAAGAAUUAUCUUGGGAGGAGAGACAUGGACAGCUGACCAAUUGCUACUUAACACAAAAACCGCCAAACAAACAAUAAAAACCAACAUUUGUUUCAAUCCUUGCAAAGCCUGUGGGGAGAACAGAUACUACAUACUUUCCAACCUACCUACAGUGACUAUGGUUUGAAAGUGAUUGCAAUGUUUCCUUAGAAACAAAAACUUGCUGUGAUGACUUCCAAAAAUACAAACACAAUAUCUGUUUUUAUAAUAGUAUUAAUCAUCGGAACAUUCUAAAUCAAGACGACUUCUUUAUUUCCAUUGAUAGCAGAGAUGCUGCUUGAUUCUUACCAAGAAUGUCUGUAUAUCAAGAUAUAGAACAUAAAUAUAAAAUUAAAAAUAUGGUUAAUCAUUAGAUUGAAUUCCAUCCAAAAACUUGAUCCAACAACACACACACACACACACACACACACACACACACACACACACAAACAAUUGACGCACAAACCUACACACACUAAAUGCACACGCACUGCACCUCCUAACAGCAUUAGUGCUGUGCUGAAUUGUUAUGAAUACAUUUGGCUUUCCUUGUUUGCAAAAUGUAUAGAAGCAGGAGCUGCAAAGAGACAUUUUCUCCACUGACGAGGUUUUGUCAGUGAGCCUCGUCAUUGAAAUUUAUUUCCCCUCCGUCUCUGUGGUUCAGUAUGUCGACUGUUCUGCCAACUCAGCAAGUGUAACAAAUGAUCGUUUCAGAGAGGCACAAUGCAACAGAUUACAUCCUACAAUUAUUAGCACAUAUUUUGGAUUCUGUUACAGCAGCAGUGGGUUGGUUGGGUCCUGACGCACAUUUUAUGCCAAAAUGUUGUUAAUUUCAUGUUGAAAGCCAGAGCAGAUUUUUCUCAUAUUCCUACAAACUUGCAAUGGCCAGUAUCACCUGUGCAUUGUUUGAAAUACCAGUUAGCAAAUGGGAGGUUAACUUUGAUAUUAUGUUGUUCUACACAGACUCAAUACAAAACACACAAGAUUUCAUGGAAGCAAGCCCGGUCAACUAGGCUGAACACAUUUUGCCUACACAUCAUUCAGGGUUAUUUUGUUAACAACAGGGACACUCACACCGCUGCACGAUGCAAUUACUAGAGAGCCCUGCAACAGAACACUCACCGCUUACUUGCAUCUCUCUCGCUGGCAGUACAAACAUGCACACUCUCAAGCCCGACACAAAGACCAGGGCUUGGAUUAUUUUUUAUUACUAUCGUUGUAUAGUAGAGAGACAAUGUCCUUCUUUAAUCAUCAAUCAAGACAUUUCACAUUAUAUAUUGUAUUCAAGAUAAAGCAUUCAGUAGUUAACUGUUGCAUUUGUUUAUCCCUUUUGAAACAGAAAACUACCAUAAAACUUCAGGACAGUGGAUUCGACAUUAAGCCUUUGUUCGUGCACUUUGUUUUCAAAAAAGAUUUUUAUCAAAUGCUCAGUUUAACUAACUUUUAAAAGAUCUAUCUAUGCAUAUUGCCUUUCAUGAGUGGAUAUUGAAUUGCCCGACAUACAGAUCUGUUACAUCACUCUGAGAUGCAGCAAGGGCCCCAAGAAAAUAGAUUAGUCAAAAGUGUUACACAGCUUCACUCACAGAGUUUCAUGCUGCAUGUUGGAGGAAAUAUCCAUCUUCACAAAUGGUUUAAUAGUGCGUUUAAUUUGUUCACCGUCUAUAGAAAAGGUUUUCCAAUGGAAUAUUUCAUUGUGUCAGGGUAAAUCAGAUAAAGUAUGUAUUCUAAUAUGGUAGAAUACAUAUUGUUGUACUUACCUGUACAGUCUUUGACUUUACAAUCAGAGAUCACAUACAAUGUUUUAUAUAUAUAUAUACUACUACAACUAUCAGCAUUGUAUUCUGAUAAAAGUAGUUAUUCACAAAUUCAUCUUCAGUUACACAGAUUCCCAUUCCCAACGGCUGCAUUUUGGAACUCAAAAUUGGUUUUCAAAAUUGACACCACAGUGUGCUGUAGAACAAACAACAUAGAGGGCAUCUAAUAUAUCUUUACAUAUAUUAGUGGUGUGGACCAGGAUUGCCCCUUCCCAUUAGUUCCAUUCAUUACCCACUGUAGGGAGGCCUAAUAUAUCUUCUCCCCUGCUGCCGUCAUAAGCCUCCGAUUGGUUCUGGGUGGUCAGUGGACUGCAGCCUGCUGUUGAGGAAACAUAUUGAGCUUCUCCGCAACUUUACUUGGGCCCCUUUCAUCAAAGGAAGGGUCUUCUGAUUAACUUUCUCUCAGCCUCAUUGCUUUGAGGGCCCAAUGUCUAUUUUUUUUGGGGGGGGGGGGUUAACUGUCCGUUGAUUCUGUACAUUAACAUUACUCUGCUUGAUGAGCCAUUCAGAUAAAAGUCAAAGCAAAUUAUGUAAACAGUCAUGAUGGAUAUAUUUUCCAAAAGUAGCAUAUUAAACAGAAAGUCUUCUUCAAAGUUGGACCAGUUACUAUGACCUCCCAGCAAUGGGCAAGACGCGUGUUUGCGUUUAGCUAUGCAGUCGCCGUUAGCGGCCAAACGUGUUUUUUGUUCUAAUACUGUAAUACUGCACAAAAGGCACAUUACUAACUUUGCUUCUUUGUGCUUUCGCUCCUCACACAUUUCUGUGAAGGGUGGUUACAUCUAGAUGGUGGUUGUCCCUGCAGACUUCCUGCCUGACAUCCACUGCUAUUGUCAUUAUCAGUAGUAGUCACAUUAUGAUUGCUGACAUCAUUCCUUGCUUUGUUAUUGUCGUUAAUCUACUAAAUCCUCUACAGCAGUUAUAAUUCAGUCAUUUUUAAAUCAUUAUUUGACUUACUGCAUUGCUGUAUUGUCAUUCUGUAUACAUGGCAUCUAUUGCACUCUGUUCGUUCUCUCUGAGGUUUCAUCCUCUUUUUUCCCCCCGUUGAAGGGAGUUUUUCCUGUGCCGAUGUGAAGUUUCCGGUACAGAGAAUGUCGCAUGUGUAUUUGAAAAACCCUCUGAGGCCAAUUUGUUAUUUUGGGCUACAUGAAAUAAAUUGAAUUGUCAUACACAGACAGGGGCAGAAUGUUUGAUUUGUGUUGGAGCAGAAGCAGCAUUACCUAACAGAAAUAAUAAUUCAGGUAGUGGAACAUGUUAAAGCAAUAAGGUACUUGAGGCUGUACUUUAUCGUCCAAUAAUGUAACAGUUUGGGAGUGUUGUUAGGCCCGACGCAGAGCGGAGGGCCUAACAACAACCCUCGAGCAGUUACAUUAUUGAAGAUAAAGUACUGCCUCAAGUACCUUGUUUUUUUUAAUACGGUUACCAGCGAAAUUAUAAUUAGCAAGUAAAUAGCUGCCUUUCAUCACAAAAUAGUAUCAGCCACCAAACGUUGUGUAUCGCAUUUCAGUAGUCUAGAGAGAAAAUAGUCCCCGUACGUGCACGUAAACAGCAUCGGGUCCCGCACCAUGGCGUCCACCUUAGUUGUCCGGUUGCAAAAGCUUGCAUUGCCCGAAACCGAUCAUGUGUGUGAUUUACAGUGUUUUUUCGGCCAUCGCCACCGAGCUAAAAGCUAAAAUGUCAACAAGCGGUUGCACAAAAUCUAACCUGUUACUUUGAGCGCAGUGAUAUGGAACGCUGGGUUCAAGGUAAGCAGCAACUGUACAUUAUCGCCCAAUAAUGUACCUCUCGUGACCCACUCUCAACCAAUCAGAACGCUGGAUUUCAUCUACCAGUAUUAUAAUUUUACUUAUUAUAGCACUGCCCACAGCAGCAGGCCCUGCAACAGCAUAAACCUGUGGAACGUCAAAAACUCAACUUGGUCCGGAGAGGCAACCUGCCAAUUUUGGUCAAUUUUGCAGCAAGGAACAGCAAUGAAGCAACAAAUUUAAAAGACUGAAAAUAAUGGGCAACUGAACCCACAUAUUUCCAAUGUGGUUAAAGGUAGCACAUGGACUUGUGCUAUGGUUUAUAACGCAUGCAGCAAUAUUGGAAGCAGAAUGGAAAUAAGUAGGAGUCUCCUCAGAUGCUCUUUUGCCACAUUUACUUUAAAUGAUUAAAUAUGUACCCCUUGAAAUGUAAUUCACAAUGCAGUUUGGUGUUACAGGAUCCUAACUUUAGCACACAAAGCUGAUUGUGAACAACAAGCACACAUUUUCGGUCAUGGGGAGCUUUAGAGCUUGAACCUAGAGAUCUUACAAUCUGACAGUAUAGAUCUUUUUGUAACAACAUAAUAUACAUCCAGAAACACUUAAGCCCCCUGGGUAGCUGGUGAAGCAAGGGGUUACCUUUCUGCAGGGUAUCACCAUCCUCUUGACAGUAAAUGGUGUCACAUUUAAUUGGAACAAGCACAAUGUAAUGGAGCGUGUCAGAUGGCUUUCACUAUGCCUGUGAGGAGCAGUGGCUUCUAGGUUUGUGGCUGUGAGGUCAGAGAGGGACGGGGGUAAUGCAAAAGAAAUACAUAGAAAGAAUGAAAAUGCAAGAAAUUAAAAUACAUUUUAUUUUAUUUUAUUAUUACAAAUAAAAAAUGACUGGAAAUCUAUACAUCGCUCUGCAGAGAAACGGAUUCUAUAUAAAACAGCUGCACAGGCUGUUAUUCUUUCAAACUGAUUUCAUAUGGAUUGGCUGAAAUAUUUUAGUUUUUUGUAUCUACUGUACUGCAUGCAAGAAAGGGCAAUAAUGCUGCCAGUUGAUGAAAUUAAAUGAAAAGUGAAGGGGGACAACCUAAGAAAGAGGAUUAGAGGAUUAAAAAUAUUUAUUUAAAACUGUAUCAAAUAAAUGUAUUGAAAUAUAUUUUAUAGCAAAUAGACAAAACGCCACAACACUUUCAAAGGAUUGAGCGCUGUGCUUAAUAAGGUGCUAAUCCUGAACACUAAAUUCAGGAAUCUUGGUGUGGUCAUUGAUUCAUGUACAAAUAGGAAAAAACAACAGUUACCAGUUAAUCCUCCAUUUGUUGAGUGAGUUUUUAUUGGACAACUGAAAUGUCAGUCAAAUUGGUUUUGAGAAUGUAAUAUAUGGUUUAAAAACAAGAUUCAACACUUUUAGCAAUAUAUACUAGUUCCAUUCUGUGUCUGGUUGAAACCACAAAGACAUAUUACUCCUAAACAUUGGAUUUUUAUUUUUCACACAUCUCACUGAUGCCAAUUUAACCAAAAGCUCGGACCACAAAUUCUAUCAAAGAGUUCAUGCAUUCACAAACACAAUCUCUGACACACUUUACUUCUGUAGCUGCUUGUGGCAGAGACGAUGGAUUAAGGUAAAGCAUUGACCUGGAGUCCUUAGGAUCACGACAGCCCAUUAGUCUGUGCAUAGUACCUGAACCAUCUGGUUACCUGGAUCGUAUGCUACGAGCGCGAGUCUUGCCAGGAAAGCAUUGGGAUUCCUAACAUUGCCUGCAUGAGAUAUGAAAGGGAGCAGGCCCAAAUGAAAAAUGAACUCAUAUGACAUGUACAAUUUAUAACUCGUAGGACUCUUAAUUUGGGCUUAUUGCACAACAUUGUCUCUCUUAGAAGCUGUCUUGUAGCUGAUUUCUCUUUUUAUUAGUUUUGUUUUGAGCCCAUGUUAUCAGCAACAACAUUUUUUAAGAUUACAACCGUUUAUCAUAAAAUGUAUUAGAUUCUUAGUCGCUAUUAAGAAAACAUAAAACAGGAAUGAUUCAGAGAGCUGUCUUUGAACAGCUGUGUAACUGGUAUUUAGAUACAAAAAAUAUAUACAGAUACAAAAAAGCCCAAUCUUCUACACACCACUUUUACUUUAAGUUCUGAUUCUCCUUACAUGCAACAUGUAUAAAUGAUCUUUAGUGGGCUCCAGCUUGUGGGUUCAACUUACGUUAGAAAUAAUAGAUCAAAGCAAGAAACAUGACUGCAUCAACUUGAUCGUCGGUUACUUUUGAUGGUAAUAACUGAUGUGGUGGGUGCCGGCUGUUGCGUCAGAGGGAUAGUGAUGAAAAUAUCUGGCAAACAUAGGAAGUAGUGAAAAAAUUCCAGCUGAUGACUAAAUCAUGAACACAUGAGGACUUGGGCGGCUGGCAAGCACUGAUUAUCACGAUUUGACAAUAAUUUGUCUUAUAAAUGACAGCAACUUAUAACCAUCAUUCUGUCUUAACAGGUUCGGUUGUGCACCGUUAUUGGGCUGUCUACGCUUGUAAAUAUUCGCGGCUCCCCGUGGAGCGGAUAGUUUGACAGGUGACCACUGGGUGUCGCUCUUUAGUUUUGCCUUUGAGUUUCACAGACCCCUUCUGAACAUAGGUGUUACACGUAAUGUUAACAGUAUCUUUAUUAAUGAGAUCCUACUUAACAAUUCUGUGGCAUUUUAUUUUCAUUUUGACACAUACAUGCACAUAGUUGACAUAAUAGUGAGCGAAAAAGGUGUUUGGAAAAAUGUGUCUGUUCUAAAUUAACAGGGUCAGCGAUGAAGUAAUACUGUACACCAGCUGAGAAAGACAACACGUAUCUAAAAAGUCAGCUACAUUAAAUAAGGUUGUUAAAGGAACCGUCUAUACCACGGGUGCCCACAGCUUUCUCGACCUGGAAACUCCUUUUUAAAUCAACCAAGUCAUGGCGAUCUACUGGUCCGUUAACCCGACUACUAAAUAAUAAUAAUAAUAAGCGGCCUGUCGUCUGUCAGAAGCGAGGGAACCGUCACAACCAUCCCAUACAUUCUUGGUCGUUACCUUUCUCAGAUGACUUGGAGUCAGCCAGCGUUGCUUUCGAAUGAGAUUAAAAUGUGUCCAUUAGUAAGCAAGGAUUGCUAAUUAGCACUACCAAGUUUUCCGUUAGCUCCCGCAGUUAACUUGAGUGUUGACCCGGCGUGAUAUUUUUCCCAACGCUGUAUAGGAUUCAAGGAUAUUAAAUGUCAAAAAUGAAAUAUAAAACCACGUUUUAAUUAAGCAAUAAAAGGUACGAGAGGUUGUACUUUAUCGUCCAAUAAUGUAACAGUUCGGGGGUGUUGUUGGGCAACCCUCGAACUGUUGAUUCAACAUUAUUAAAAGAUAAAGUACAGCCUCAAGUAACUUAUUGCUUUUCUAUGGUUACCAGCGAAAUUAUAGACAAGUAAGUAAAUAGCUGCAUUUCAGCACAAAAUAGUUGUAGCCACCAAACGUGUAUCGCAUUUCAGUAGUCUAGAGAAAAACAGUCCCCGUACGUGCAUGUAAACAGCAUUGGGUCUUCUUGCAAGAUCUCGCACCAUCUCAUUCAUUCACAUCGCUCAUGACGUCCACUUUAAUUGUCCAGUUGCGAAAAGCUUGCAUUUCUCGAAACCGAUCAUUUGUGGGAUUUACAGCGAUCGCCACCGAGCGAAAAGCUGAAAUGUCAACUGACGGUCGGGCAAAAUCUAACCUGUUACUUUGAGUGCACAGUACUAUGGAACGCUCGAGUCAACGUGAACAGCAACUGUACAUUAUUGCUCAAUAAUAUACACCCAUUGAAUCACUCUCAACCAAUCACAACGCUGUUGCACACUAACAGACACUGGUUGUAGCGAUCGCUGUCCACGUUUUUUGUAUUACCUAAAAGUAGGGAUGGCUACCAAAACUUUACUACAUACAUAGUUAUGAUAAGCUUCAGCCUUAUCGGUGCUUUUUAUGAGUAUAAUUUUAUAUUAUGCUGAGACAGGCAUUUCUACUGUUUUCUCAGUUGGGCUGAGCUCCUCCAACUACACUCACACACACAAAAUGUGUCAGGGAGUAGAGAGACGGCGGUGGUGACUAAAUCAGGUAAAGUGAACACCAGUUAAUGGCAACUGCUAAAUUUCAUAUUUUUUACACAAGAGUUUAAAAAGCAUGGAUUGGAAACAAAAGGAAUGCCUAAUAUAGAGCUCUUAUGCGCCGCCGGUUUUCACAGGCACAGCAUUAUCGGACAAAAGCCUUUUUUGACAAUGCUGAAACAGAAGCUGUUUAUCAAUACAAAAACAUUGUUGUCUCUGGGAGACCGUAGUUCUCUUAACCAUAAACCCCAGCUGUAUGGCAAGCAAUGCUUUAAUCUAGAGAAAGUCUUUAAAUGCACUCUCAUCUUACAUGACUCUUUUACUUCAUUUGAGCAACUUGGAUUUAUGAUGAAUUUAAAGAUUGAGAGAUUAUUUUGAUAAUCUAUGGACCACCCAGGCCUAAUAGGGUUUUUAAUUCCUUUCCUUUAAUACUCUGUGAUUUUAACAUACGUGCUUGCUGCCUUUUACAGACCGUUUCUCAAGGAUUUUUUGGAUACCUUGGAAUCUUUCAACCUCAUUCAGGCUAUGGAGGAGCGUACAAAGGGUCACAGCACUCCACUCAGUUAAUUACAGUGGUUGACAGUGGUCUUAUUCAUCCACCUGCCUUUAAUCCUCAUUUUAAUUUAGACAAGCUGGCCUCCCUUUUUAAAUCGAACCUGUCAGACUGUCUUGGACUCUGUUGCCCCCUAAAAUAGAAAAGGACAAAUAGAACACCCCAGCCCUGAUUAAAUGAGACUGAAAGAAACAAAUGAAAAGAAAAAAACAGGUUAUAUGUAUCUUAUACAAGUUGUAAGAAGCAAUGAAUACUUAAAACAGCUGUUAAAGAAGCUUCCUUCCUUCUUCUUCAACUUACUUUUUAGCAAAUCACUUGAAUCAGAGAAUUCUAUUUAAGGUAAUUGACUCAGUGCUCUAACCUCCCACAGUCCUUCUACUGAUGCCUCACAAGAGAUGUGUGAGCUAGAUCCACUUUCUUAAAAGAUGUUAUUAACAGUUGUUCCAAGUAUUUUAUUGAUUCAAUACAAAGUAUCAUAAACUUCAGCUGUAUCAAAAGUUGGUUUUAACCCAACUUUGGUCUAUUAUGUGUUUUAAUAACACCUUCAAGAAGUUUAAUUCCGUCCAUAGAGUUUUAGACACAACAGAAAACGCCCCUUCUGAAGGUGUUCAAGGAUCUCCUUUUAGCAAAAGGGGGGAGAGCUGAAUUGGAAUUCUUCUAGACUUAAGUGCAGCCUUUAGCAAAAUGGACCAUGGCAUUUUGUCCGUCAAAGCAUAUAGUGAAUUUUAAAAGGUUAUGUUAUUAUUCUUUUUCUUUGUUUGUUCUCAUGAGCCUCUCUGCUGGCUGGGACAAAGCAGACAGGAGGACAGAGAUCAGGUGGACUGCCUGACACUAAUCAUUUAUAAACACGACUCUAGUUGUUAGAAACACUUGGAAGGGGAAAGCGUUGCGUAGGGUCAUAUCGUUUCAAAUCUGCAACCUCAAAACUAGAUGCCAAUAAAUCUCACACACUGAAUGACGCCAUUGAAGAUGUAGCUUUGGCACGGCACGUAGAGUAGCUACAAUUGCAGCAUUUCUCAAAGCAGAGGGUCGUUAAAGUCAUAUCCCUACUUGUAUGCAGUGAUUUACUUUUGUCUCUUGUCAUCCUUUUUCUCCAAUGCUUCCCAGUUCCCUUGCAGGAACAGACGUUUAGCCUCUGUGCCUUCUGUUUGCAGAGCCUAUGACAGCUCUCUACGCAACACUGCCGUGGGAGUGACUCCUGCUUGGACCGUGGGUGACUCCUGCUUGGACCGUGGCUCCCCGGAGAACUUCCACUGCAGGGCACACUGAGAGAUAAGAGGAGGAUGCCGUAUAUACAGUAGAUGUACUGUAGAUCCCGUGGCUCCUGCAGGAGGAUCGUGAAGACGGACCUAUAAAUGGUUCUUCUUGCAAACAGCUUGUUGCUUGCAGAGGUGUGGGUGUUGAAGUGUGAGUUAGGACUAAGACGAGGGAGCACGAAAAAAAAUAGAGGGGAGUGGGAGUGUUGCGUCAUACUGCGAUGAUCUUUGAUGAGUGUCUUAGACAUGGAAUUCAGCUCAAAAACAACGGAGGCAUGAAAAUCAAAACGAUAUCCAAUUUAACCUUUGCUGCUGGUGUGUGAUGUGAAGAACUGUGUGUUGCUUUGGUUUACUGAAGGAAACUACUUCCAAUAUAUUUGCCAGGGAACUGGAACAUAGUUGUUUCCUUUCUUUAGAAAAUAGAUAAAUCUAGGUUCAUCGGGGUUGAUGGCGUUGACGAUCUUGAGUAGAAGCACUUGAGGCAGGUCAUUCAAGCCCAACACUUAAAAAAGUGCACUCUUAAAAAACCCUGAGAAAAUAAAUAACGUGGGUGUGCGUUGUUAAAAAUAAAUAACUUCUUUUGUCAUUUUUGACAUAUGAAAAUGGCUCAAACGUUGUUUUUAACCUUCAGAACAAUGUCAUGAAAUCAAAGAAUGUUAAGGCCAUCUAAUCCUCCUAGCAUUACAAUCACAGCAGCAAAGCACAAUCCUUUUGGCUCUUUUGUUACAUGCAAAAUGAAAUCUUGUCAAACAGUGUUGAUGACCAAUCAUGUGGCGAUAUCAAUGUUUUCCGACGCUGCGACCAGUGUGUGUCAAUAAAGCAUUCUUUUUACUUAUAACAUGAUACUGGGUGUCUUCUCCCCACCACAAGGAGAUUAAAGCGAGGACGAGAGCGGAUGGGCACCUUCAAGAUGGAGGGUUUACACUGGCUGAAUUUUAGUUGCUGCACCCACAACGUUCUGUCUCCAAAGUUCUGUCGGUCCUCCUCUGGCGUAGUACCCUCCAAGUGGCAGUGAAUUCGAGCCUGCAGCGUGUGCGAUUUGUUUCAUUGGUGGUCGUUUAGACAGUGAAUUCAUUAGCGUUCCAUUCCAUGUAGCUCUUUUUCAAGCCACUGUAGUUGUCAGAUUUGUUGUUGUUCCCUUAAGGCUUCUGACAUACUGCAAGUGGGAGUUGUUACAUAUGUAAUGGUAAAAUAUAAUGAUGCCGCAAUGUUUUAAAAGGUUAACUGUCUGAAGCUAAGCAUGAGUUUAAUAGUGAGAAAAUUCUAUUUGAAAAACUAUCUGAGGAGAAGACGCAGACACCUCUUUUUCAUAGAGAUGCAUGUAAUACUCUGAACUAUGGAGAAGAAGCUUGCACUGCUUUCUCUGUGCAGCUGCUGCAAACUUUGAUCCCCUGACAAGGAAAUAAAAUGGAAAAAGACAACUUUGACUUGAGACUUUUAUUCUUCAUUCCCGAGUGCUUUAAGAAAAUCUUACACCACACAUAUUUUCCAUACCCACUUUUAGUUUUUCCAACUGAGUGGUUCAAGUUAGGCUCAGACUUGGGGUUCAAGUGACACUUUAAUGUCACUUAAAAUGACUUAUUUUAAAUGUUUUUCUUAUGUUGCAAAGUUGGACUACACCUGCAUUUCGUUGCAUAACCAUUUGUUUUGGUCAUGUUGUUUGGGUUGUCCCAAUCUUAUUUUGUAUUUUCCUGCCUUUUUCGCCGCUUAUGCUUUUUGUUGUUUCUUCUGUAUUCCUGGGAUUACUCCAGAUUGACCCCUGGCAUCUACUUUAUCAAACGUUAUUUCUUUUGAACCCUGACUCUACGAAUAGGUCCCGCUUCUCUUCUAACCGUGGCAGUUACUGUGAAUUCACUUAUAAAUCUGAGCAAUAAAAAGCAAAAUGCAUUGAAACAGGGGACUACAGGCAGACAGGUGAUUCUGCCAUGACAAUACUUUUUUAUUCAAGGACCAGUCUGCUUAGAGACCUCCACCAUCAUCCUUGGCCCCCCAAAUCUUACGACCACAGGUAUGUCGAUUACAGAAAUGUUGCCCCGAUACAUUCCAAACUACCCUGAAUUUCAUCCUGCAGCAUCUGGACUCCUCAGGGACUCAUGCCAAAAUCCUGUAUGUCAACUUUAGCUCUGCCUUCAAUAAAAUCAUCAUCCAAGGUCUGCUGCUAACAAGCUCUAACAGCUACAAUAUGCCUGAAGGUGCAUCGCGGAUUUCCUGUCUGACAGAAAGCAGCCUGUGAAGCAACACCCUUCAUCCCCUUUAGACAGCCGUAACUUACAUUUACAUCGUCACAUCUGAUCUGUAUGUGAUACACACAUCUUUGGUGUUUUAUGUCUGUUCAUUGAAUAUUCUUGACAUAACAGAACCAAACCACUAAAAUAAAAGAGAACAUGAAUUGCCAAGCAGGUUUUUCUUAUGAGAGCUUGUUCUCUAGUGUUUUAGGAUUUAAUUGAAUUUUUGAUUAUGUGGUUAGCACACAUGCAUAGGGACCCAUUGCAACUGCUGAGCCACUUCCGCUGACGAUGUUGGGAAUUGAGAGCCUUCUCAAUCAAUUGUGCUGCAGGUGGGCAAAGAGCUUUCAUCCUUGUAGAAAAAGUAGGAUUUGAAUUGGAGACUCUCUGGUCAGAAAUGCGUCUCCAUGGCUACCACAGUGGAAACAAACUACACAGCUAAAUGUGUUUGUCUCUGUGUGCGUAUGCAGUACGUGUUUGAAAAUGUGGACAUUUCCUUCUGUUUAUAUCAGUACAUGCUCGAAGUGAUUCAAGUGGGAGCUUCGAGUGAGCGCACAUUGCAAACUGCUCUACUGAUCUGAGAUCAUUCGUCCUUUUUUUUUCACCCUCUUCUUUUCUUUUCCCGCCAUUGUUCCCAUUUUGCAUGUUUUAAAAAAAAGAUCUCUCUCUGUCUCUUUCUUCUUUCACUUACUUUUCCUUGAAUCGUGUUAGUCUGUCCUACAUACCUGCAUACCGGUUAGAUCAAUUAUGUAGUGAUUGAACAGUUUAACACAUUUUUCCCUCCAACAACUCAGGUGCUGUAAUUCACACAUGUGUAUUAUAUGCGUACAAAUAUCUGUGAGACAUGGUUGAACAAGCAUCCAUCCCAUAAUAUCAUCAUCCACAAUUAGUCCUAACCAUGAAGAAAACAUAAACAUGGACUCACAAGUGCCUAAAUAGCCAACUAAAGACACUCAACAUGUAAGUUAUGGGAAGGAGUAUUCAUCCACUUUUAGUACCUGCAAAUGGUCUCCCCUACCACCACCUUCUGCACACAACUAAAACUAACUAAAAUACUGGAUAGGUAUUUUACUGAACACACAAAGUGAAAUUGUAUUUCUUUUAAAACAAAAAUGUCUAGGAAGUGUGAUAAUGUAUUCACUCCAUACCAAAACAGUUGAAUUAUCACAACAUGUUACUCGGUGUUGCUUUAUUAUCCAACAUUUCUGUUUUUGCCAUUUUACUCUGAGAGUGUACAUCCCUCUCUCGUCUUUUUCCAUCUUUCAGUCACUUCUUUUGCUUAUUGCCACUGUCGCUGGCUCUCAUUCUUGCUCUCCCCCCACCAGCCCCUCUUUUUCAGUCUAGAUUGCCUCUCUAUUUCUCCGCUCCUUUCUUGCCGUCUUCAACUCUUUUCUGGUGUUCCUCUCUCUACCUUCUUCUCACAAAUGGUCCUCAUUACCGGCAGCGGCUUCUUUUCGCUCCCUGGUUGCUGCCAACGGACCAUUAGCAUGUUGUGUGCAGGGCUAUAAAUCGGAUCAGGAAAGCACCCAAGUACUCUGACUUCCUCUCGAUGUCGCCCAAUCAGGACAAUUUGCUAUGGUUUGGGGAACAGUAAGAAUUAAGGAACAGAAUUCAUGAUGUUCGGUAUAGUUCUGCUAUAGCCUCAGUGAUUCUGUAAUUCACAGCCACGGUUAAGGAAAUGUUCAUACUGUACAAAUUGUUAAAAGGUCUGGACAGGUCCAAUUUAAUCUCUAAUUAAAUGAUAAAUUAAAGUAUCAAUACUUAAUUUCCAGGUACAAACUAAAUAUGUACAGGCUGCAACAAGGAACAACUUGUGAAGCUUACAAACCAUAUUUCAUUCAAAUGCAAUUGAGGUGUUGUCAUUUCUCUUUAAAGUAAAAAAGUGCAGCAACUAUAUCAAUAAUUGUCUUAUUGGGGUAAGGAAAUUAAAGGUCAGACUUUUUCUCCAUCAGUGCAAUGCUACACAGACAAACCAGUGCUCGUGCUGGGCAAAAUUGAUCAUCCAAAUAAUACGUAUAGAUUCUGUGUCUGCACGUAAUAUGUAUUGCAUAAAUUAAAUCAAACUCUUACUUUGUCUGAAAACAGCCUUUCCUUGCUCUGCAUACCCAUGAACCGCCAUGGAAACUAGACACUGCCAUUACUCAGUCUACACCGUUUGAAUGAAUGUGACAAAUUGUAACUCACUUUUGGCAUGUUUUUUCUUUUGGGGCUUGUAAAAUAACAAUAAAAUCUUUCUGCAGUGCUCAGAAGGUUCAACACUACUGGCAAACCUGUGUACUGCUUGACCUGCAAGCUGGCUCACAUAAAGAGUCAUUAGAUGGUUUGCAUGAUUGUGUUGUGUUUCCUCAAACAAUACAUUUAAAUUUAAAAAAAAGAAAAUUCCUUUUCUCGUUAACUGCCAUUUGGGACUGCAAGUGUAAGACGUAAUGCAGCGAUAAAGAUCCCCUGCGGGGAAACUGCUGUUGCAACAUCAAGUAGUAACAAGAAAGGAAAAGAGCUAAGAAAAGAAGAGCAUCCGGACACUUUUUGAAAUACUGUUUUUUCAGUGAGGUUUUAGUAAAGUUCCAUGGUGGAAAGUUUUCCUCCAUAACACAGGUGAGUAAUUAAUGAUAUAAUUGUCUCUUUUUUGGGCAAAUGAAAAUUAUAUGAUACAUGAUAUAGUAUACUGUAUGCAAAUAAAAAACAGGAAUGGACAAAAUUGUGUGUGUAAGUUUACAAUAAUUAAAGACAAUAAGUUUAAUUUCUUCCUUGUCACAAUCUUGAUUUAAAAAGUAUGAGAAAUAUUAUAUAAUAUUGCAUAAGAGGGAGGGUCUGCAGAAUAGAUAGCUGCAUAGAACCUAUCUGCAAUAAAAGCAAAGCUUUUUCAAGGAUUAAAACAAAGAUGUACGUAUUUUGCUUCUCUAGUUAUGCUACCGCUGAGGACUUAACUGACAUCUAAGCUCUCGCUAAGACUGCAUUUAGAAUGUUGCUGAGAAAUUGUCAGAGCAGUGACGCAAUUUCCAUUCAGACUCAGUAACCCAGCAAUGAAAUAGCAUACCUCAAUUAUUACUGGAGUGUUACAGAUUGUGAGAAAUGACUAAUUAACGGUGUGUGUGGUGUGUUUAUUUAAAUGUGUACAUAUGUAUUCAUGGCAUCUGCAUGUGGUAGAAAUCCCAUAUGUUCUGUAUACUGUGAAUAUAAUUAGAUGUUUUUGGGGGGCAAAUGUGAAUGAUUUUGGUGUCUAAUGCGUUUGGUGUCUUUGUUUGUCGUCUUGAAUGUGAAAAAUGACGGUGAGAAUUGUAUAUGAAGCGGUAGUCAAGCAUCAGCAGUCGAAUCACUAAAAACAACACAUUUCUGCUGAAAAAUAAAGAUUGUAAAGCAAACACAUGUGAGAAUAAAAAUAUUAUAACAAUUAUUUUCCAAUGUAGAUUAACAGCAAUGUACUACUCGGUUGCCUCGUACUGUUUUUCAUGGCAUUAUAUCAGAUGAUGACAAGUUGUAACUCUGACUUGUAUCUCAAUAAAAUGCCAUCUCACCAAAAUUGAUUAAUUUUCUGUUUUUCAACAGAAUGUCAGGGAAUGACAUAACCUCUGAAGAACAAAGCAGUGGGAAAAUGUUUGGGUUUUAUUUUAAGGGCACAACACUGUGCUCAGCGUGGUUCUACUAAUUCAUACUUUUAAAUGAGAUUACGUGUACAAUUUACAUCAAAUAUACAAGUUUAGCAAUGUCCUACACUACUAGCCACCGCAGUUUCAUAACGUGUGCACACACUAUUUCUUAUUUCCUUCAACGCACACACACACACACACACACACACACACACACACACACACACACACACACACACACACACACACACACACACACACACAUUCUGACAUGUAUCAUUUCAGUUUCACAGCACCAAGAAGUACAUUCAAAAAAACAAGAGAUUUUAGGUGCACCCUGUGCCUUGUAAAAGGUUAUUUGCGUCUCAGUUGCUCAUUGUUGAAAAAAAUCCAAAGCUUUUGUGUAAAGCCAUCAUACUGUUUACAAGUAGGUGUAUGUACAAAGAACGGAGAGGGGAGAACGGAAAUGUCAGAGAAAAUGUCAAAUGCCUGCUGGCUCUGUCCGCUGUAUUUCUCUAGCUGAAAUGGUCUCUCCAGGGAAGAAGGUCCUGGGCAAGUUGACUGAGACGAUCCAAGGUCAGCUAUUGUUGGGGACUUUGAACAAAACCAGCUCUGAUGGGUUAUGAAUGGAUGAGUUAUGGGAGGUAUUCAUCAGGUAUUAGUUGAUGAAUGGACGGAGAAAUACCGUACGUGGUUCAAAUCGAGGGAUUGAUUGACUGAAUGACUGGUCGCAUGAUCAAUAGAUAAAUGUUGGGUGGAUGAAAGAAGGGUGGAUAAAAC
ensembl:lncRNA